rnacentral:rRNA from 1 species
AAAGUUCCGGCGGUUUAAGAUGGACAUGCGUUGUAUUAGUUAGUUGGUGAGGUAACGGCUCACCAAGACGACGAUACAUAGGGGGACUGAGAGGUUAACCCCCCACAUUGGUACUGAGACACGGACCAAACUCCUACGGGAGGCAGCAGUGAGGAAUAUUGGUCAAUGGACGCAAGUCUGAACCAGCCAUGCCGCGUGCAGGAUGACGGCUCUAUGAGUUGUAAACUGCUUUUGUACGAGGGUAAUAUCAGAUACGUGUAUCUGCUUGAAAGUAUCGUACGAAUAAGGAUCGGCUAACUCCGUGCCAGCAGCCGCGGUAAUACGGAGGAUCCAAGCGUUAUCCGGAUUUAUUGGGUUUAAAGGGUGCGUAGGCGGUUUUAUAAGUUAGAGGUGAAAAUUCGGGGCUCAACUCCGGACGUGCCUCUAAUACUGUAUGACUAGAGAAUAGAUGCGGUAGGCGGAAUGUAUGGUGUAGCGGUGAAAUGCGUAGAGAUCAUACAGAACACCGAUUGCGAAGGCAGCUUACCAAACUAUAUCUGACGUUGAGGCACGAAAGCGUGGGGAGCAAACAGGAUUAGAUACCCUGGUAGUCCACGCAGUAAACGAUGAUAGCUCGUUGUCGGCGAUACA